rnacentral:rRNA from 1 species
UACAGAGGGGGCAAGCGUUGUUCGGAAUUACUGGGCGUAAAGGGCGCGUAGGCGGCCUGCUAAGUCGAACGUGAAAUCCCCCGGGCUCAACCCGGGAACUGCGUCCGAUACUGGCAGGCUUGAAUUCGGGAGAGGGAUGUGGAAUUCCAGGUGUAGCGGUGAAAUGCGUGGAUAUCUGGAGGAACACCGGUGGCGAAGGCGGCAUCCUGGACCGAGAUUGACGCUGAUGCGCGAAAGCCAGGGGAGCAAACGGG